CAGUGCAAUAUUAAAAGGGCA
rnacentral:ncRNA from 8 species